AAACAGAUAAUCAUGCCCACUUCUCGCGUGCUCUGUACUGAAUUUCACAGUUUGCUGCGGGCCCCGAUUCGGGUCGUCGAAUCCGGUGAACCGGACCCGCAUUCGAGCCGUUCAAUCUUGUUGCCGUGAUCAAGGGGAAACGGUCCGAGGCAGAUCAACGCCCAACUUUCAACGCCUUGCUCUUUUUUUUGGAGGGCAUAAUCAAAAUCAAUACGUCACUCCUUCUUCAACCUCCGCUCCGCUGGGCUUGGCUAUCUCCACCGCCAAUCCGCCGCCACGACCAUCAUUGAGCCACCGCCCCACCGUGACCGCCACUGUGCGCGGCAAAGUUGUUGAGCUUGUCGCCGGCAACCAUGGACGAGCCAAGACUCGAGCUGAAAGCUAUUAAGCAGCAGACCAGAUCUAGCUGUUGAGCGACGGUCGAUCACCGCGUCCAGGCCAACCUCCGCGUCCACCCUCUCCGUUGUCUCGGCGGCUAAGUCUUGGCCGCGAGCGCUCGUCCACAGAUAUGGAGAUGCAGGGUAGCGGUCGGCCGUGGACGGUCUCUCGUCCACAGAUCUAAGCGACGACCUCCGCGGCCAAAUCUGGCGUUCUUUCAAAAAAUCUCGCAGACAUGGACGGUGGCUCGAGUCAUUUGACCCUACUGACGGGAUGAAGUUAUGGGAAUGAAGUUCUGUGAACUGCGUGGGGUUUUGUCGAUUUGCGUUUCAAGAUGCCUACUGCUCCAUAUUUGGAGUUCGUUCGUGGACGAACAGAGGAAGA